rnacentral:rRNA from 1 species
AGAGUUUGAUCCUGGCUCAGAACGAACGCUGGCGGCGUGCUUAAGACAUGCAAGUCGAACGAGAAAGCCACCUUCGGGUGGCAAGUACAGUGGCGCACGGGUGAGUAACGCGUGGGUAAUGUGCCUUCGGGUUCGGGAUAACUCCGGGAAACUGGGGCUAAUACCGGAUGAGACUUCGAAGCCUCCGGGCUUUGCGGAAAAAGGUGGCCUCUCGACGAAGCUACUGCCUGAAGAUCAGCCCGCGUCCCAUUAGCUUGUUGGUGGGGUAACGGCCUACCAAGGCUCCGAUGGGUAGCUGGUCUGAGAGGACGAUCAGCCACACUGGGACUGAGACACGGCCCAGACUCCUACGGGAGGCAGCAGUCGGGAAUUUUGGGCAAUGGGGGAAACCCUGACCCAGCAACGCCGCGUGAGGGAUGAAGGCCUUCGGGUCGUAAACCUCUGUCGGGAGGGAAGAAGGAUCUCCGGUCCAAUAGGCCGGGGGUUUGACGGUACCUCCAAAGGAAGCACCGGCUAACUCCGUGCCAGCAGCCGCGGUAAUACGGAGGGUGCAAGCGUUGUUCGGAAUUACUGGGCGUAAAGCGCGUGUAGGCGGCUUGGCAAGUCGGAUGUGAAAGCCCGAGGCUCAACCUCGGAAUUGCAUUCGAAACUGCCUCGCUCGAGUCCCGGAGAGGAUGGUGGAAUUCCCAGUGUAGAGGUGAAAUUCGUAGAUAUUGGGAGGAACACUGGUGGCGAAUGCGGCCAUCUGGACGGUGACUGACGCUGAGACGCG